GCGAAAGACUAAUCGAACCAUCUAGUAGCUGGUUCCCUCCGAAGUUUCCCUCAGGAUAGCUGGAACUUGUAGAAAUAGUUUUAUCAGGUAAAGCGAAUGAUUAGAAGCUCUGGGGAUGAAACAUCCUCGACUUAUUCUCAAACUUUAAAUAGGUAAGAUGAUUGCAGUACUUAAUUGACUGUCAGUCUCUUGAAUAGAAAGUUCUUAGUGGGCCAUUUUUGGUAAGCAGAACUGGCGAUGUGGGAUGAACCAAAACGUAAAGUUAAAGUGCCUAAAAAUACGUUCAUCAGACACCACAAAAGGUGUUGAUUCAUCUUGACAGUUGGACAGUGGCCAUGGAAGUCGGAAUCUGCUAAGGAGUGUGUAACAACUCACCAACCGAAUGAAUUAGCCCUGAAAAUGGAUGGCGCUUAAACGUAUUACUUAUACUUUACCAUUAAGAUAAAUGCUAAAUCUUAAUGAGUAGGAGGCGUAUGGAUAAUUUAGAAGAUUGACAGUGAUGUUGAUUGGAAUUAUCUUUAGUGC
rnacentral:rRNA from 1 species